UACGUAGGGUGCAAGCGUUGUCCGGAAUUAUUGGGCGUAAAGGGUGUGUAGGCGGUUGUUUAAGUUUGGUGUGAAAUCUCCCGGCUCAACUGGGAGGGUGCGCCGAAUACUGAAUGACUUGGAGUGCGGGAGAGGAGAGUGGAAUUCCUGGUGUAGCGGUGAAAUGCGUAGAUAUCAGGAGGAACACCGGUGGUGUAGACGGCUCUCUGGACCGUAACUGACGCUGAGACACGAAAGCGUGGGUAGCAAACAGG
rnacentral:rRNA from 1 species